CCUACGGGUGACAGCAGUGAGGAAUAUUGGUCAAUGGGCGGAAGCCUGAACCAGCCAAGUAGCGUGCAGGAUGACGGCCCUACGGGUUGUAAACUGCUUUUAUACGGGAAUAACGCGCCUUACGUGUAGGCCUUUGCAUGUACCGUAUGAAUAAGGACCGGCUAAUUCCGUGCCAGCAGCCGCGGUAAUACGGAAGGUCCGGGCGUUAUCCGGAUUUAUUGGGUUUAAAGGGUGCGUAGGCCGCCUGUCAAGCGUGCUGUGAAAUGUCCGGGCUCAACCCGGGCCUUGCAGCGCGAACUGGCGUGCUUGAGUCCGCGGAAAGCAGGCGGAAUGCGUCGUGUAGCGGUGAAAUGCUUAGAUAUGACGAAGAACCCCGAUUGCGAAGGCAGCUUGCUGCAGCGGAACUGACGCUGAGGCUCGAAAGCGCGGGUAUCGAACAGGAUUAGAUACCCUAGUAGUC
rnacentral:rRNA from 1 species